ACACAACACAUUUCCACCACCACUGAGUGUCUCUAUCUCAUCACACACACACAUUCCACGCCCAUGAGGGUCCUAUCUCACACACACACACACCCACACACAUCACACACACACACACCACACACACCCACACACACACACACAGUCCACCCAUGAGGGUCCUAUCUCACCACACACACACACACACACACACACACACACCACACACACACACACACACACACACACACACACACAUUCACGCCCAUGAGGGUCCUAUCUCACACACCACACACACACACCACACACCACACACACACACCACACACACACACACACACACACACACACACACACACACACACACUUCCACGCCCAUGAGGGUCCUAUCUCACACACACACACACACACACACACACAUUUCCACGCCCAUGAGGGUCCUAUCUCACACAACACUACACAACUCCUUCCACAUGAGGUACCUACUCCACCACACACACACACACACAUUUCCACACCCAUGAGGGUCCGAUCUCACACACACCACAUUCACACACCAUGAGGGGUCCUAUUCUCACACCACCCACACCCACACAUUUCCACGCCCAUGAGGGUCCUAUCUCACACACACAACACACCAUUUCCACGCCCAUGAGGGUCCUAUCUCACACACCACAACAACCCAACACACACCAUGUCCAGCCCAUGAGGGUCCAUCUCACACACACACACACAUUCACCCCAUGAGGGUCCUAUCCACACACACACCACACACUACACACACAUUCACGCACCAUGAGGGCCAUCUCAC
rnacentral:lncRNA from 1 species